rnacentral:rRNA from 1 species
GGAUGAGUGGCGAACGGGUGAGUAAUACGUGAGUAACCUGCCCUUGACUCUGGGAUAAGCCUGGGAAACUGGGUCUAAUACUGGAUAUGACCUCCUGUCGCAUGGUGGGGGGUGGAAAGGGUUUGUACUGGUUGUGGAUGGGCUCACGGCCUAUCAGCUUGUUGGUGGGGUAAUGGCCUACCAAGGCGACGACGGGUAGCCGGCCUGAGAGGGUGACCGGCCACACUGGGACUGAGACACGGCCCAG